AGAGAGAAGAAACCAGUUCUUCCGUCUUCGCCUCUUCCCUAGUUGGCAGUUCCCCUAAACGGCUAAACUAGUUCUUCGCCUCUUCCAGCAUCUAGUCUUGUAAUCUCCAUCUGAAUUUCAAGAUCUCUAUUUUCAUUCAGGAGAGAUAGCAUCAUGGCAGCUAAAGUGGAAAGCAUGAAAUCCAUUAUUUGGAGUUGAAUCGAGAAAGGUGUACUGAAUCAUGUUAGUGGAAUUGCUGGAUUGCACAUUGUGUCUUGGCACUUUAUAGGAGCAAAAAGCUUGGGAAGAGUGAUUUUGUUGCAUUCCAGGUAAUUUAUUUUUUUGAGAUAUACACACAAUUACACAAACUGAUAAAGCAUUAUUUAUGUUGCUUACUUUGUCCAUGCAUCAUCUAGAAGUCGAACUCUGAACAUUCAUUGUUUUAAACGCAGUAUGCUUAGGUAUCUCAAAAGAAAAUCACCUCCUCCACAAGGAGGUGAUAUUUCUUCUUCUACCAAGCAAAAAUGCCCGGAAAUCAACUUAGAUGAUCUUCAUUCAGAUCCUGGACUACGACCUCGAAUUUUGGAUUAUCAUCCUAACAAUCGAGAUCAAGUCCGUAGAGCAUAUUUGCAAAGGGGUCCUUGCCAACCUCUUAACCAUGAUUUUCCACUGACAAACUCUGGACAAUAACAAAGACGAUUUAACCAAGCUUGGUUUACUGAAUUCCCUACCUGGUUGGAGUAUAGUGUAUCUAAAGAUGUUGCAUAUUGUCUAUGUUGCUAUCUUUUCAAACAAGAUAUUGGACGUCAAGCUGGUGGUGAUCAUUUUGUGGGUGAAGGCUUUUCAAAUUGGAAGAGUUAUAAAAAAUUAGCUCUUCAUGUGGGAGGUCCCAAUAGUGCACACAAUAAGGCUUGGGGGAAAUGUCAAGAUUUGACGAAUCAAAAGCAACAUAUUGAGACCAUUGUUUGUAGGCAAUCAGAUCAAGCUCAAGCUGAAUAUAGACUACGCUUGAAUACUACAAUUGAGGUUGCUCGAUAUCUUUCAGUACAAGGAUUGGCAUUCCGUGGUCAUGAUGAAAGUGAAAGUUCAUCUAAUCCGGGGAAUUUUAUUCAUCUUUUGAAGGCCUUUGGUAGAAUUAAUGAAGAUGUCAAAGCAACAACUUUUGAAAAUGCUCCACAGAAUCAAAAGUUGAUAGCUCCAAAAAUUCAGAAGGAUAUUGUAAAUGCAUUUGCAAUGUAAACUUUA